UUGGAGCUGACCUCUAAUGACCUACAGGGGUCAAUGAAGAAUUACACAGGGGUCAAAUUUUAAAUGUGCCAAUGAUAUUGAAAGGUAUACUAUGUUAUUUGUCAGAUCAUAAAGAUUCCAAAAAGGUAUAGUUUGAACUAUCUUUGAAUGAAUGUUAUGGGGUAAAACUGAAAAAAAUGGUGAGUGACAAAGGUCAAUUUCAGUUUGUACAGGGGUCAAAGUUAAAGUUGCUCCAGUUUUAGUAACAAGUGAUGCAAAUUAUUGGUUGAGCUAAUAGGAUUAAUGAAUGGAAUAGUUUUGGCUGUGUUGAAUGCGUGGCCUCCAAAGUGAAGGUCGAACAAUGUUGACAUCCAUUGGAUUCAGUGAUAUGUGAC